ACGCUGCAAAAUAUUUUUGGAUGCCAUUGCUGAGACAAAAAAUAAUUAAGAUCAAACUGUAACUACAGGAAACUGCAAAAAACCCUAACUCCUAUGCGCAGACAUGUAAAAUGCAUGCUUAGGGAAAGAAAAAAUGUUGUUCUUGGAGUUAAAAUCACCAAGACGAAAUUUUAAGAGAAGGUUAUACCUUUCCUGUGAAAAAUAUGGGGAGAAUGCCACCAACUACAUAGGAACGAGUGCAAUUUUGAGCCUUUGCAUUGAGAAUAAUGGCAUAUAAAUAGC
rnacentral:lncRNA from 1 species